rnacentral:lncRNA from 1 species
GGAAAGUGCUUUUUGUUUUCCCCCAGAUGAGGACAUCUUCCUUAUGGAUGAAGCAAUUCGUGAAUAAGAGAAAAUGAUCCCAAGGAGGGGAAAAACGCCCAGCACACCCGUCAUAAAGUAUAUCAACGUGCUGUUCAGGAAGGUAUCAGAGCAGGCCAGCUGGAGGAUGUACGUCAGUUCGCAGAAAAAAUGUGGAAUUUCAAAAUCUUUACAGAAGAUUAGAUGCAUCAUCAGAGAAAUAUGGAGGAGGGAUGUCAUGACACCAAUGAGCCAGGUGACAAAAACCAGGAGGCCACAGAGGUGGGGGUUCAUGAUGAUCAUAUAGUGCAGAGGGUGGCAGAC